GGAUUUGAUUUAGGGUUUAGGGUUUAGGGUUUGGUUAGGGUUUGAUUUAGGAUUUAGGAUUUUGAUUAGGAUUUGAUUUAGGAUUUAGGGUUUGAUUAGGAUUUGGUUUAGGAUUUAGGGUUUGGAUUAGGAUUUGAUUAGGAUUUAUUUAGAGUUUAGGAUUUGAUUAGGGUUUGGUUUAGGAUUUAGAAUUUUAUUAGGAUUUAAGAUUCAAUUAAUUUUGGCCUAAAGUUUUAAUGAAGUUCAAUAAGAUUUUAAUUAGAAUUAAAUGAAGAUUGAAUUGAGAUAUAUUUGAGUGAUAUUUUUGAUCCUUCUAAUAUUUAUUUAAGAAUUCUUAUUGUUUGUUUGAAAUUUCUUUGAGGUUUUUUUGAAUUUGAUUAAGCUUGCUUAGCAUUAUUAUGAUCUAAUUAGAGCAUUGUUAGUAUUCUAUUAGAAUUAAGAUUUUAUUAUUGCAAUUUCUAUUCUUCCUUCCACAGCCAAGUGCCCGGAGCAUUCUCAAGCAAGACUUCACGUAUUAUGACAACGUUCUAUAGGACCUCCAAUAUGUGUUGACUUUGUAG
rnacentral:lncRNA from 1 species